rnacentral:lncRNA from 1 species
UUGACGUCAGAGUGAGCAGGGCGGUUUCUGCUGCCUUCGCAUUCCAGCCCCACACACCUCCCUGCAGCCUGGCACUGGAAACUGCUGAGCCAUGCAGGGCAGCCUGGUGGCGGCUAGGACACUUCUGCAGAGGACCUGGAGUUGGGCUGCUCCCGGGGCUCCCAUCUCUUGCUGGGUCUGUUUUCAGGUGCACCCUCCUCCUCCAGGAGGCAGGGGCAAGACCAGCUUCAGCCCUUCUUGCUCUCCAUGGUCUGUAUAUGGACAGGGUGUGGGCCCGGGGAGACAGUUGUGUGGUGUGUGCAUUGUGUGUGUGGGGGGGGUUGUCUGUGUGUCUGUGAAUAUUUGUGUGAUAUGUGUGUAGUAUGCUCAUGUGUCAUGACUCUGUGAGGGUGUGAUGGAAGAGUGUGUGUAAGAGAGAAGUUUGAGUGUGUGUGGUGUGUGCAUCUGGUGUCUGUGGGUGAUGUUUGUGUACAUAGUGUCUGUGUGUGUGAUGUCGGUGUGUUGUGUGGGUUUGUGUGUGUAUAUAGUGUCUGUGUGUGUGAUGUCAGCGUGUUGUGUAAGGAUUUAUGUGUGUGUGUGGUGUCUGUGUUUGUGAUGUUGGUGUGUUGUGUGUGGGUCUAUGUUUGUGUGUGAUGUUGGUGUGUGUGAUAUCAGUGUGUUGUGUGUGGGUUUAUGUGUGUGUGUGUGAUGUCUGUGUCUGAUGGUGUGUUUUGUGUGGGAUUGUGUGUGUGUGUGUGGUGUCUGUGUGUGUGAUGUCAGUGUGUUGUGUGUGGGUUUAUGUGUGUGAUGUCGGUGUGUGUGAUGUCAGUGUGUUGUGUGUGGGUUGAUAUGUGUAUGUGUGAUGUUGGUGUGUUGUGUGUGCAUUUAUGUGUGUGUGGUGUCUGUGUGUGUGAUGUCAGUGUGUUGUGUGUGGGUGUAUAUUUGUGCAUCAUGUCAGUGUGUGUGAUGUCAGUGUGUUGUGUGUGGGUUUAUGUGUGUGUCUGAUUUUGGUGUGUUGUGUAUGGGUUUAUGUGUGUGUGGUGACUGUGUGUGAUGUUGGUGUGUUGUGUGGGUUUAUGUGUGUGGUGUCUGUGUGUAUGAUGUCAGUGUGUUGUGUAGGUUUAUGUGUAUGUGAUGUUGGUGUGUGUAAUGUCAGUGUGUUGUGUGUGGGUUUAUAUGUGUUUGUGUGAUAUUGGUGUGUUGUGUGUGGGUUUAUGAGUGUGCAUGGUGUCUGUGUGAUGUUGGUGUGUUGUGUGGGUUUGUGUGUGUGGAUGUGGUUUCUGCCUAUGGGAGGAGGUUUGCUCACAGAUGGAGGAGAAGGAGCUCUAUAGGCAAAGAUCCCAGGGCCGUGGAGGAGGAGACACAGUCCUGAGAACUCCUUCCUCUGAAUCAGAAGGACAGGAAAGGUGGGAUUUUAAAGGAACAGAGAACCCUGGUGGGAGAGGUGAAUCUGAGCUCCUCGGGCCAUCGGGUGUCCUGUGGAGCAGAGGCAGGCCCGUGAGGGUGAUUUUCAGAAUGCUGCCUGCUUCUGAGAGCAGAAGUCCUAGCAGAGUAUGCCCACGCUGGUUAGUGCUGCUGCAAAGAUGAGCCGAAGACCAUGAGAGACCUCCAGGUGGUCCUUCUGGGGAGAAGAAAUGGGUUUUGGCCCCAAAUCCUUCUGCUGCAUUUUUCCCCUAUCCCUGGGAAGCCAUGAGACCUCAAACCUGUGUUCCCAAGGAGGCGAGCUGCUGUUCCCAGGUGAUGAUAUGAUGUGCUUGGGGAAAGUAAGUGGCUGCCAGACAUGGCUGAGAGCUGUUGUCACUGCCGUCAAGUGCAUGUCUCCAAGCCAUAUCACACGGCGUCCCUCGAUGUGAGGCCACAUGGCAAGUGGGCCGUGGAUCUCCCUCUGCCCUUUGCAAGCACGUAAGACAGCAGAUUUUGCAGAUACCUUGUGGCGCAGGGGAAUUUCCUUUGGCCAGGUCUGAAGAAAUAAAGCAGCAGGCACCGAGAACAAAGCCAAGGCUUUCAAAAGACAAGGAGCCAAAAAACUUACUCAAAAUAAAAGUAGUUUUAAAAUGU